UUUACGUCAAAAAAUAUUUUAAUGAAACAAAUAUAAAUAAGGUAGGCAGUAGGUUGCGAGCAGGAUAUGAUGGUGUUGACUGGUGGCGCUGAAGAGCGGACAGCCAUCCAAAGACCACACAUUCACCGUGAAGACGGCAACUGCAAUGUUUGCAGAAACAUUGGACAAUUCUCGAGAGUGGGUCCCUAGCCUUAGAUACUGCCCAAGCGUACGGGCGGAGGGACUGGAUAAAACAACGAAAACCUCAAUCAGGAUAUUCAGUUUUGGUGGCUGCAAGUCAUUAAGUCCAUUCACCACCGAGGAGCGUCUCGUGAGCGCGUGGGUUGACGAGAAGGAACGACGAAGUGGAAGUGGCGAGAGUUUAUGACGAAAUGAGAACGAACUGCGCCUUGCGUCUUGUGGCACACUGCACUUGACGUUACGACGGUAUAACGUGUGCAGACAGCCUCUUAAUACUAGAGAGCAAAGGUUAAGCAUCAAAAUUACAGAGUAAGCAAGAAAUGUCUUACGAGUUUGGCCAAUGGUUCAUUUUAAAAUUAAAGUUUAAAACCAAAGUUAAACUAAUUUACAUAUUAAUGAGAUCAUUCUAAUCAGAACUUCGGUUUAUAUAAAUUAAUGUGCAUAAAUUGAUGGGAUACAUUUAUCAUAAUUACUUCAUACUGAAUUAUAAAUUAUUAUGGUGUUUACAUUAAUGGGCAUGUAUAGAUGGAAUAAAUGUGCAUUUGUUUCGAUAA